rnacentral:lncRNA from 12 species
GGGAAUCUGCAUGUGCCUUCGGAGGAUGGAAAUUGGGCCAUAAUGCAGAAUUGAAAGAAUUUUAUUCAUAACAUAUUUUGCCACUUUACUUUCUCCAAGAUGAAGAGAUAGCUAUGUUUGUCAUCACCUGAUGCUCACUUGUCUCCAUCAUGAAGCAAUCCAUCAAUCUUUAUCUGUUUAUGCCUAAGCUUAAUUAGAAACCAGGUGCCUGUGCAAAAUAAAGA